rnacentral:rRNA from 1 species
GAAUUCAACUCCUACGGGAGGCAGCAGUGGGGAAUAUUGGACAAUGGGCGAAAGCCUGAUCCAGCAAUGCCGCGUGAGUGAUGAGGGCCUUAGGGUUGUAAAGCUCUUUUACCCGGGAUGAUAAUGACAGUACCGGGAGAAUAAGCCCCGGCUAACUCCGUGCCAGCAGCCGCGGUAAUACGGAGGGGGCUAGCGUUGUUCGGAAUUACUGGGCGUAAAGCGCACGUAGGCGGCUUUGUAAGUUAGAGGUGAAAGCCCGGGGCUCAACUCCGGAAUUGCCUUUAAGACUGCAUCGCUAGAAUUGUGGAGAGGUAAGUGGAAUUCCGAGUGUAGAGGUGGAAUUCGUAGAUAUUCGGAAGAACACCAGUGGCGAAGGCGACUUACUGGAUACAUAUUGACGCUGAGGUGCGAAAGCGUGGGGAGCAAACAGGAUUAGAUACCCUAAUAGUCCAGGCGUU